rnacentral:misc_RNA from 1 species
GACAUUUUAUGAAGUACAAAAAAUAAAAUAAUGACAUUUUAUGAAGUACAAACUUUUACCUGCUUCAUAUUUGGUCGUAAGGACGAAGGUUUAUACACUGAAGCAGCAGCGCAAUAAAUCAUUCUUAACAUUUCAUUCUUCUUAUACUCUAUUCUGGAAUCAACAAGUCUGGUAUAGUCAUUAUUGUUCAAUGCUUGUCCAAUCCGAUUUUUAGCCCAUUGAACAAUUGUAAUGUUGCUUUCUUCAUGUAAAGGUUUUCUUCCAGUAAUCAAUUCUAAAAGUAUA